rnacentral:lncRNA from 1 species
GCCUUUCUUUUUACUCACAUUUGGUGACAUCCAUAGUGAGAAACAGCAGUUCCACUGUCCAACACCAGGAAAUGUUCUGACUGCUUCACCACUCCAACUAAUACUUACAGAGGUGUGGCCUAUUCCCACUUGUACUGGGGGCUUUAGAAUCCGACUCCUUACAUUCCUAAGACUAAAAGACAUUUUGUGCUAUUUUAUGUUCUGAGAAGGAUUGAUUACCACAAAGACAGAUCUAUAGAGAAUGUGAGUGGAAACUAUACGAGCUGCUAAUGGGACAAGGCAUUUAAGAAUCAUCCGAGUUCUUCUCUUCUUGCUGGCUGGAGGCAUGCCCUCAGAUAUUUUAAUCUUUAUGAAACAUUUGAAGACCUCGAGAAAGUACAAUACCCUUGGUUCUACACAGAUGCUGUCAUGAAUUCAUCUUAUAUCAGUUUCAUAAUCCAUGUAGUCAAAUACCAUUGAGGAUAGUUGAGUGGUCACUAUGUUGUAAUAUCAGACAAAGAUGACAGUGAAUCUGCAAAAGAAGAAAGCAUUCUGAGGACCACUGAUUCCAGAGCAGGUGAAGGGCCAAUUUACUGCUAAUCAUAGAGCCAUCUGUGUGAAACUCAGUGUCCUUCAGUCUGAAAAAUGAGGAGCUUGUAUUCUAUAUGAGGAGGAAAAAUGCAGCCCAUCUUUCACCUGAGGAGAAAGCUUUGAAAUUCAACGAUUCUGGAAUUUGAAUCCCAGAAUAGCACUUACUACCUGUCUGACCUUUAUUGAGUUUUUUUUUUUUUUUUACCUAUCCCAGCUUCAAUUUCUUUAAUUGAAACCCAAAGUUGAUAGUAUUGUUUAUCUUAUAGGUCACUUGUGAAGAUAAAAUGAGAUAAUGAGCAUAAAAUUCCUAAAGUCUUGAAAAGUAUGAUACAUUUUAUCCAUCUAUCAUCUAUCUAUCUAUCCCCCUUUUUUAAGUCACUCUUCUGUAUUUCUCUCUCUCUCUCUCAC